GAUGAACGCUGGCGGCGUGCCUAACACAUGCAAGUCGAACGAAGCACCUUACCUGAUUCUUCGGAUGAAAGUUUGGUGACUGAGUGGCGGACGGGUGAGUAACGCGUGGGUAACCUGCCCUGUACAGGGGGAUAACAGCUGGAAACGGCUGCUAAUACCGCAUCAGCGCACGAGGAGACAUCUCCUUGUUUGAAAAACUCUGGUGGUACAGGAUGGGCCCGCGUCUGAUUAGCUGGUUGGCAGGGUAACGGCCUACCAAGGCAACGAUCAGUAGCCGGUCUGAGAGGAUGAACGGCCACAUUGGAACUGAGACACGGUCCAAACUCCUACGGGAGGCAGCAGUGGGGAAUAUUGCACAAUGGGGGAAACCCUGAUGCAGCAACGCCGCGGGAGUGAAGAAGUAUUUCGGUAUGUAAAGCUCUAUAAGCAGGGAAGAUAAUGACGGUACCUGACUAAGAAGCACCGGCUAAAUACGU
rnacentral:rRNA from 1 species